CUACCAGUUUUAUUCGUAGAAUCAUAUAAAUCUCACCGUCACAAUUUUUUUAUAAUAUAUUUUAAAAUUAAUAAGCCGGAUUUAUGUGAUUAGCAAAUACAAAAUUUUUUUCUUAAUCCAAAAUAGAUUCUACCUUCUUAUUGCAUGUUUAUGAUUUCUUUUCUUAAUUCAAAAACAAAUUAUGUUUAUCAAUUUUAAUUUAGAAUCAUAUAAAUUUUUUGAAAAAUAUUUAAAUCACAUUAUAUAUAUUUUUUAUUUUUUUUAACCUAAGAACCCGCAACCGCUACCUUCGGAUCACGCAAUAGCGUUAAUCCACCCUUUGGGAGUCGAACCUGUGACCAAAAGGAUACAUGUCCUCCCUUUAACCAGCUAAACCAACCCUAAUAUAAUCUAAUAAGAGUUAUUCCACUCAAAAUAUAUUAAAAUUUGAUAGAAAGAAUUUAAUACUUUGGCAGGGUACAUACGAGAAAAGGAACCAUUUUUUUGGAUUGAUUGUGCACAAAAACAUCUAAUGUAAAUUCGUGAGAUAGCGGUCUAUAACUACUCAUGCUUGUAACAACCUUUAUUUUUUAAUACCGUACGAACAGUCUUUGCUUAAAACUUGCUUGAACGGAGCAAACAGAUAAUGCAUGAAUAAUAUAUUUCCUGUAUACAAGUAAAUCAUAUUAUAUACUUAUAUAUAAUAAGCGUAAGGGAGAUAAUUUGGUCGCAUGGUCCUGUGGUCCAAAAGCUUAUCAUCCGUUGGAUCUUAUAUUGAACAAAUAAGCACCGUUAGAUUGGAAAAUUAACUUCUGUUCUACAAGGCAACUGAUAUCACCUUGCAUAUUUAUAAUUCCUUUUCAGAAUCCAAAACAAAUUCUGUCUUUCACGUGUAUAUGAUUUUUUUAAUCCCAAAUAAAUAUUUCCUACCAGUUUUAUUCGUAGAAUCAUAUAAAUCUCACCGUCACAAUUUUUUUAUAAUAUAUUUUAAAAUUAAUAAGCCGGAUUUAUGUGAUUAGCAAAUACAAAAACUUUUUCUUAAUCCAAAAUAGAUUCUACCUUCUUAUUGCAUGUUUAUGAUUCCUUUUCUUAAUUCAAAAACAAAUUAUGUUUAUCAAUUUUAAUUUAGAACCAUAUAAAUUUUUUGAAA
rnacentral:lncRNA from 1 species